UAGUUGCAACUGCCAUGCAUCUUUUACAUUAUUAGAGUUAACUUCAAGAGAAAAAAGUCUUAGAAGAUGAUCUUGGUUCUUGUUUUUUGAGUUUAUAGUAUCUAGUAUACAUGAAUCUUAAAUCAAAAUGCUGGUCCAAACAUGACUAGUGGUUUUUGUCCCCUUUCAUGUGUUGAAUGUUUGGAUAGCUUCCUUUUGGCGUAAUCUCUAUUUUACUUUCACUAGUUCUGAAUGAGGAUAUCCUCCCCAAUCCUUAUGGGGUGUAAGGCCAUAACAUGAGUGCCAAUUUUCUAGAAGAUAGUUUGCAAUGAUAACUUUUGGCUAGAGGAAUCCUACAUCAUCUUUCGUAUGUCAUGGAUAUAAUGGAUGCAUCUGGUGUGGCACUUGUAUUGAUUGGACCUGGGAGCAUUGAUCGGGCCAAAUCCUUUUCUGAGAAAUCAAAAUUUGAAGGAGGACCUUGUUAUCUCUUCUAGAAAUCUAUGCAGACCCCACUCACUUGUCAUACGAGGCCUUAAAUUUUGUUUCUGGAGUUUUAACCACAUUUACCCCCAAUGCAGGUCUUAAGAUAAUACAGCUAUAUCUGGAAGGUUAUCGACAACAUUGGAAGCUUUCAUUUGAAAAGGAUACAGUUAGCAGAGGAGGCUGGAAACAAGGAGGAACUAUAGUUGCAGGCCCCGGUAAAAAUAACAUCUCAUACCUUCACAACCCCCUCUAAUAUGCCACAUCCUUUAUAUAAUAUAUUUUCCUUGGUACAUGUUAGCAGCAAUUAGCCAAUUAGUUGUCAGUCAGCAUAAAAUUCAUGGCCUAUAAAUGUUUUCCUGAUUUCAUUAUGUGAAAUAUGUUCAUGAGAGCAGGACAAAGAAGCAGGGGAUGACCCAGAAAUUGAAGAUAUCUUCAAAGCAUGUUGCUCGUGAAGAAAGAAGAGAAGGAUCCCCUCUUUCCUGCUUUAUUUAUCCUGCUACGUGAAAUGGUAUUCGCAUCACACGGCAUUGUACAUCAUAUUUAAGAUGCUUCUUAUGCUGAACAGUGGCUUUUCUGAGUUUCAGUUAAAAGAUAUAAUGUUAUUACCUGCCAUUUAUCUGAUGACAACUCACAAUUUGGAACCUAUUACUAUGAGGCUCUUAAUUUAAGAUUCUAUUGAUUAUUUCAGGAUCUUGUACACAAUAUUUUUCUUUCCAUUUCAAGAGAAGGUGGUUUCUUCUA